GACGAACGCUGGCGGCGUGCUUAACACAUGCAAGUCGAGCGGUAAGGCCCUUUCGGGGGUACACGAGCGGCGAACGGGUGAGUAACACGUGGGUGAUCUGCCCUCAGCUCUGGGAUAAGCCUGGGAAACCGGGUCUAAUACUGGAUAUGACUCCAUGACGCAUGUUGUGGGGUGGAAAGCCUUGUGCGGCUGAGGAUGGGCCCGCGGCCUAUCAGCUUGUUGGUGGGGGAUGGCCUACCAAGGCGACGACGGGUAGCCGGCCUGAGAGGGCGACCGGCCACACUGGGACUGAGACACGGCCCAGACUCCUACGGGAGGCAGCAGUGGGGAAUCUUGCGCAAUGGGCGAAAGCCUGACGCAGCGACGCCGCGUGA
rnacentral:rRNA from 1 species